ACCAGACUCCUACGGGAGGCAGCAGUGGGGGAUAUUGCACAAUGGGGGAAACCCUGAUGCAGCGACGCCGCGUGGGUGAAGAAGUAUUUCGGUAUGUAAAGCCCUAUCAGCAGGGAAGAAAGAAGACGGUACCUGACUAAGAAGCCCCGGCUAACUACGUGCCAGCAGCCGCGGUAAUACGUAGGGGGCGAGCGUUAUCCGGAUUCACUGGGUGUAAAGGGAGCGUAGACGGCCGUGCAAGCCAGGAGUGAAAGCCCGGGGCCCAACCCCGGGACUGCUCUUGGAACUGUGCGGCUGGAGUGCGGGAGGGGCAGGCGGAAUUCCUGGUGUAGCGGUGAAAUGCGUAGAUAUCAGGAGGAACACCGGCGGCGAAGGCGGCCUGCUGGACCGCGACUGACGUUGAGGCUCGAAAGCGUGGGGAGCGAACAGGAUUAGAUACCCUAGUA
rnacentral:rRNA from 1 species